GUCAGGUUUAUGAAACUUUUGAGUAUUUUU
rnacentral:tRNA from 1 species